ensembl:snoRNA
AGGUAGUUACAAAAAAGGUUUGUAGAUUUUUGAAAGUAGGAGCUCUUAACACUAUUACUAAUGAUUGAAGUUCUCCAUAGGAUACCACAGUCACCAAAAAGAUGUAAGA